CUACGGGGCGCACCAGUGAGGAAUCUUGCGCAAUGGGGGAAACCCUGACGCAGCCACGCCGCGUGGGUGAAGAAGGCUUUCGGGUCGUAAAGCCCUGUCAGGUGGGAAGAAACGCAUUGAGUCGAAUAAACUCUUUGCCUGACGGUACCACCAAAGGAAGCACCGGCUAACUCCGUGCCAGCAGCCGCGGUAAUACGGAGGGUGCAAGCGUUGUUCGGAAUUACUGGGCGUAAAGGGUGUGCAGGCGGCUACAUAAGUCGGAUGUGAAAGCCCUCGGCUUAACCGAGGAAGUGCAUCCGAUACUGUGUAGCUUGAGUCCCGGAGAGGGGGAUGGAAUUCCCGGUGUAGAGGUGAAAUUCGUAGAUAUCGGGAGGAACACCAGUGGCGAAGGCGAUCCCCUGGACGAGGACUGACGCUCAUACACGAAAGCGUGGGUAGCAAACAGGAUUAGAUACCCCAGUAGUC
rnacentral:rRNA from 1 species